rfam:Microgenomates (Levybacteria) bacterium GW2011_GWA2_37_36 TS48_C0046, whole genome shotgun sequence.
GGCGCGUUCGUCUAGCCCGGCCUAGGACGGCAGGUUCUCAUCCUGCAAAUCGUGGGUUCAAAUCCCACACGCGUCA